GUCUAAAGGGAAACAGCCCAGAACAAGAGUUAAUAAGGUUCCAAAAUUAUUGUUAAGUGAAAAUAAGGUAGUGUUUAUCCAAGCCAACCAGGAAAUGGGCUUAGGAGCGGCCAUUUUUUAAAGACCUCGUAACAGAGCACUGGUUUUAUACAAUUUUGUAUGUAUUGUUAGAUGCACCUAAAAUUUAACGGAUCUAAAUAAUAUACCGAGACCUUGUCCAUAAAUAUUUUUAUGUACAAGUUACAUAGAAUAUAUAUGGGGUAGCGGAACAUUGGGCAUAUCUCAGAUUUUUUCUUUUUAAGACUUAAGAUUAGAUGGCCCAAGUGAUAAUGCUGACAUGAGUAACGAUAAAGGGUUUAUACCCUCGCCUAAAGCUUAUGGAAUUUACUUAAAGUAACGGCCUCUAAGUUUAAAUUUGCUAUAGUUUAAACAAACAACACUUGAUACCUAACUCUAACAGACGAUACAAGUGCAAAAUAGUAAAUACCUAAUGGUAUAAACGAUGAGAAAAAGCUAAGUUUUACAGAUAUAAAUAGCAUGAGUGUUGCAGGUAGGUAUUAUAUAUAUAACGGAUUUAUUUUUUUUAUUCUUUUUAUGCGUUAUUAUCCUUUGCACUAUUCUGGUGUAUCGGUUGCUCUGGAUAGUGCAAGGGAUAAAAAGUAAAUAAAAUAAUUAAUAGAAACUAGAAAAAUUAUAGAUUUAAUAGUUAUUUUGUGCUAAAGUGACAAAUGCUCUGGAAAAAUGUAAAACUACUGACGUGUUAGAGAGUAGGCGAGGUUCAAUCCCUUGUCCAUUAAUAAGCUAAUAG
rnacentral:rRNA from 1 species